rnacentral:tRNA from 1 species
CGCGGGGUAGAGCAAUUUGGUAGCUCGCCGGGCUCAUAACCCGGAGGUUGUCGGUUCGAGUCCGACCCACCGCAA